rnacentral:rRNA from 1 species
AAUCAACGCUGGCGGCGUGCCUAACACAUGCAAGUCGAACGCGAAAGUCCCGAAAGGGAUGAGUAGAGUGGCAAACGGGUGAGUAACGCGUGGGUGACCUGCCUUCGAGUGGGGGAUAACGUUCCGAAAGGGACGCUAAUACCGCAUGACAUCCUGCUUUUGAAGGGGUGGAGAUCAAAGCCGGGGAUCGCAAGACCUGGCGCUCGAAGAGGGGCCCGCGUCCGAUUAGCUAGUUGGUGGGGAACGGCUCACCAAGGCAACGAUCGGUAGCCGGCCUGAGAGGGCGGACGGCCACACUGGGACUGAGACACGGCCCAGACUCCUACGGGAGGCAGCAGUGGGGAAUUGUUCGCAAUGGGCGCAAGCCUGACGACGCAACGCCGCGUGGAGGAUGAAGAUCUUCGGGGUCGUAAACUCCUUUCGAUCGAGACGAACGACCUCCGGGUGAACAGUCCGGAGGAGUGACGGUACCGAGA